rnacentral:rRNA from 1 species
GUGAGGGAUGAAAGCUGGGGGAGCCAACCGGAUUAGAUACCCGGGUAGUCCCAGCUGUAAACGAUGCAGACUCGAUGAUGCAUUGGCAUAAUAGCCAGUGCAGUGUCGCAGGGAAGCCGUUAAGUCUGCCGCCUGGGGAAGUACGUACGCAAGUAUGAAACUUAAAGGAAUUGGCGGGGGAGCACCACAAGGGGUGAAGCCUGCGGUUCAAUUGGAGUCAACGCCAGAAAUCUUACCCGGAGAGACAGCAGAAUGAAGGUCAAGCUGAAGACUUUACCAGACAAGCUGAGAGGUGGUGCAUGGCCGUCGCCAGCUCGUGCCGUGAGAUGUCCUGUUAAGUCAGGUAACGAGCGAGAUCCCUGCCACUAGUUGCUAUCAUUAUUCUCAGGAAUAGUGGGGCGAAUUAGUGGGACUGCCGUUGUUAAAACGGAGGAAGGAAGGGGCUGCGGCAGGUCAGUAUGCCCCGAAACUCUGGGGCCACACGCGGGCUGCAAUGGUAGUGACAAUGAGUUCCAAACUCGAAAGAGAGUGGCAAUCUCUAAACGCUACCACAGUUAUGACUGAGGGCUGUAACUCGCCCUCACGAAUAUGGAAUUCCUAGUAACCGCGUGUCAUUACCGCGCGGUGAAUACGUCCCUGCUCCUUGCACACACCGCCCGUCGUUUCAUCGAAGUUUGCUUUA